UCUUCUGCACUGCUUCAGGCAAUCCCGUUGGAUGUCUACAGUCGGGUGGUUGACCCGUCUACGAAUGAUCCGAUGUGAUUGGAAGACGACAGUCAGCUUCCUUGAAGCUGAUUGGCUGUUCCUGGGUCCGGAUCGUGAUCUGGAUCAUCACCAAAAUUUAAUGAGCAAACCUUCAUGUGUAAAAAGCAACAGAAAAGGGGGGAAAAAGGUGAAAUGAUGCUCCUAUUCAACACAGACUCCACUUCUUGAUAGGAUAAAGGACAGGAUUUCACAGAUUCCUCUUGUCAAUGGGAUACUGCACCCGUGAGACGUCUGAAGUCUGCUUGUUGUCGUCUCAAAACAAAGCCAAACACAGCUCUGCUCGUCUCUUUAGGAUAUAAUCAGGGUAGAAACUCACCAGAGGGUCUUCUUGUUUAAAGAAAAAAUUGACCAAGAGAUGUUCAGGUUGACAAGAACUGCAAGUGUUUCACGUUGUCAAUGGCGAACAGUUAAAAAAAGCCACCAUGGAAAUCCAAUGAAGAAUGUCUGACUGCCCUGACCUCGCUAAYGCUUCUUUUAUCCCUGCCACCUUACAGCUUUAACCAGU